rnacentral:misc_RNA from 1 species
GCUAAAUCCAAAAAAGAGUCUAACCAUGGCAGCAACAGCUCUUCUCUCAUCUCCUCCAUUGCCUUCUUCAUCUAAUCAUUCUAUCCUUUCAACUCCCUUAAAAAAGCAGAGCAAGAUUCUGUGGAACCAAAAAAAAUGUGGGAAAUUCAGGGUAUGUUCAGAGUUUUGCAAAGAACCCACUUCCCAAUAUGGGGUUUCCAGAAGAGACUUGACCUUCAUUGCUCUUUCCUCUUCACUGUCUCUAAUUUUCCCAUUUUCAGGUUUUACUGCUGAAGAAGAGUUGAAAAUGGGUUCGUCUGUUGAUGACAUAAAUGCCUAUUCCUACUUGUAUCCUAUUGAAAUACCAUCUAAGAAGUUCGCCUUCAAAUGGGUGGAAACCAGAAAAUCGGAGCGGUAUUCAUCGGCUGCGCCACUAUCACCUGAUGCACGCCUUCGCAUUGUGUCUGAACGAGUUGACAUCAUUGAUAAUCUCAUCAUUUCUGUUUCGAUAGGUCCUCCCAACUCACAGUUCUUGAAAUCAAAGGAGAAAAGUACAUGGAGUGCAAAGGAUGUUGCUGAUUCUGUUUUGUCUGAUAAAUCUGCUUUGCGUGUAACCUCAACACAGCGAUUGGCAGAAAGUUCACUUCUUGAUGCACAUGCUUCUGAAAUUGAUGGUGAGUCCUAUUGGUACUAUGAAUACCUUGUUCGGAAAUCACCAACGAAAGCAGCAGCUCUAGAACCG